GAGACGAGGCUUUGACGUUAGUCUGACUUCGUUGCAUUCAACAACGGGGAGCUUGAACUACAAUGCGAGUCUAGAGAGCAUAUCGUGCAGAAUAUUGGCGGUAACAUCAGGAAGGGCUGAGAAUAUGCUCGCCGUAGUUAUGAAACGUCACAUACCGUUUUUUGUUGCACUGUGCAUGCUUCACCUCACGACAGGAGCAGUUGUUCUUCGUCUUGUUCCUGGACCAAACAAAGGUGUUCUGCAGAUUCUACAUAACAAUACAUGGGGAACAUUAUGUACGAGCUACUUUGGCCCUGCAGAAGUCAAUGUUGUCUGCAGACACCUGGGACUCAAUACCACCUACAACUUUCGGAGAAACCUCAUUUCACUACCCGGAAGU